CGUAGGUGGCAAGCGUUGUCCGGAUUUACUGGGCGUAAAGGGUGCGUAGGCGGACUUUUAAGUGAGAUGUGAAAUACCCGGGCUUAACUUGGGUGCUGCAUUUCAAACUGGAAGUCUAGAGUGCAGGAGAGGAGAGUGGAAUUCCUAGUGUAGCGGUGAAAUGCGUAGAGAUUAGGAAGAACACCAGUGGCGAAGGCGACUCUCUGGACUGUAACUGACGCUGAGGCACGAAAGCGUGGGGAGCAAACAGGAUU
rnacentral:rRNA from 1 species